rnacentral:precursor_RNA from 1 species
CAGGACCACGGUUCUGCAUGGUGCCUUGCCUCGGCUGGAGCCUAGCAGCCGACUUAGAACUGGU